rnacentral:rRNA from 1 species
CCUACGGGAGGCAGCAGUGGGGAAUAUUGCACAAUGGGGGAAACCCUGAUGCAGCGACGCCGCGUGAAGGAAGAAGUUUUUCGGUAUGUAAACUUCUAUCAGCAGGGAAGAAAAUGACGGUACCUGACUAAGCAGCCACGGCUAACUACGUGACAGCAGCCGCGGUAAUACGUAGGGGGCCAGCGUUAUCCGGAUAUACUGGGUUGAAAGGGGGCGUAGGCGGUUUAGCAAGUCAGAAGUGAAAGCCCGGGGCACAACACCGGUACUGCUUUUGAAACUGUUGAACUAGAUUGCAGGAGAGUUAAGCGGAAUUCCUAGUGUAGCGGUGAAAUGCGGAGAUAUUAGGAGGAACACCAGUGGCGACGGCGGCUUACUGGACUUUAACUGACGCUGAGGCUCGAAAGUGUGGGGAGCAAACAGGAUUAGAUACCCGAGUAGUC